rnacentral:misc_RNA from 1 species
UCUUUCUUAGGAAACUCUGACCUAAGCACCAUAUCACCAAUAUCACAAACUGUCCAUCCCUUGCUAAACUUGGCCAAGGACAAAAUAAUAAAGAGGACAGGCCUCAAAAGUUAGCUAAUAGCUAUAUAAACAAGUUUUGUUAGGGAAAUCGACGCAGAAUAUAUAUAUAUAAAGCUUCUUAUGCACGCAACAAAAAAGACAAAAAUAGCUGCUUUCUUCAAAUAUGGCAAUAUUUCGUUUCCUCACCACACUGGGACCGCCUCGCAGCAGAAGACGCCAUUAAUUGCAACCUUGUCAGCGCUUGUCAAACAAUAUUACCAAAAAAAUUAAAAGCCAGGGCAAAAUGGAUUGAGAAUAUUGGGCGACGUGAUUGGAAUCCUACAUCAAAUUCAUAUAUUUGUUCUUUGCAUUUUGAGGAGAAUUGCAUCAAUCACACUUUAAAAGUACCGCGAGUGAAAGAUAACUGUUUUCCAACAAUAUUCCCGCAAGGAAUUGGGCGACAUAUAUAUGAACAAAAUGAAUUAAACACAACUGGAUGUUUGUCACAACAGCAUGUAAUUGCAGUGGAUGAAUUAAAUUCUCAAGCAAGUACAUCUAAGGAAUACCCUUACAAUUGAAAGGAAACGUAUUUUCUUCAACAACACAUAACAUUAAAUGGGAUCACUCAUAUGCGUCAUCAAGCACACAGCAGGUCUCAACAGUCAUUAUUCAAAAAAUGAAGGACAAAAUCAAGAUGCAACAAAAACAAAUCAAGAGACUAAAAGAAAAAGUUAAAAGACAAUCAAAUAAAAUUUUUAAUUUGCGAUGUGAUAUAACAACAUUAAAAAAUAAAAGCUUUAUUAAUGAUGAAGCGUAGUCGUUGGUAAAGGAUUGUGCAGGACCAAAAGAGUUUUUGCAAAGGCAAAUAUUGAGAACCAAAAACCGGUCAGUACCAAAAAAGUACGCAGAAGAAAUACGGAAGUUCGCGUUUCGCGUUUCACUUAUGCUGACAAGUUCGGCCAUUUUGAAUGUUCAGUUAAUUGUUGACAGCUGCUUUGCUUGCACGUGUUUUGGUUCGUCUUAGAUUUUUACCUAUUCAAAAAAAUGGAACAAAGAACCUGUAUCAAAUUUUGUGUGAAAAACGAUAUUAAGUGCGCGGAUGCAUUCCGAAUGUUGACUGUGGCAUACGGAGAAGCUACUUUGGACAAAAGCAACGUUUAUCGGUGGUACAAAAUGUUUUCAGAAAGCCGAGAAGAUGUGAACGACGAAGAGCGUGCCGGACGCCCGAGCACUUCAACAAUAGACGAAAAAAUUGAUGAAGUGAAGAAAAUGGUAUUGGCCAACCGUCGAAUCACCGUUAGAGAAAUUGCCGAGGACCUAGGCAUAUCGAUUGGCUCGUGCCAUUCGAUUUUAAUCGAUAAUUAGGGCAUGAGACGGGUCGCCGCAAAAUUCGUACCAAAAUUUCUCAAUUUCGAUAACGCCCCUGCUCACACAUCGCUGCUUAUACGCGACUUCUUGGCCAAAAACAACACACUAAUGAUACCGCAGCCACCCUGUGACUUUUUCUUGUUCCCGAAACUGAAGAGGCCCAUGAAAGGACGACGCUACACCCCGAUUAACGAGAUAAAGACGGCAUCGAAGGAGGAGCUGAACAAGACACAAAAAAAUGAUUUUUUGAACUGCUUCGAAGAUUCGAAAAAAACGUUGGCACUAGUGUAUAAUAUCCCAGGGGGAUUACUUUGAAGGGGACAAAAUAGAUAUUCACGAAUAAAUAAAUAAUUUUUUAAAAUACACAAAAUUCGCGAUACUUUUUGAACACACUACGUAUGUGCUCAGAAUAUCGGAAGAAUAACUAAUUUAUUUAGCUAGGCUGAACAUUAUGUAAGAAAUUUAAAUCUAGCUUCCGGGCAAUAUAUGUAUUAUAACAUCACGCAGAAAAACUGGAUUUAUAAGUCUUUUGGUACUCAUGAACGGUGUCCUAAAUUUAUUAAAAUAUUUAGUUUCAGAAGGUGUUAAAAUAUUUGCCAUUAUAUAAAAUAUCACAAGAUCACCUAGAAAUGUUUUUUUCUGCUAUUAGGUCCAAAGGUGGCUAUAACAAUGGCCCAAAUGCGGUACAAUUUAAGCGGCUUAUAAAAUAAAAUUGAUCAGAGCGCAAAACGGAUAUAAUGGCGUAGGUAGUUGUAUACUUCUUGAUCAAAUUCAUAUAUGAAAUUGUUCAAGUAAAAUAUGUCAAAAAUAUAAAUAAUUUGACUGUUAGGAAUAGCUUUGUCGCAAUUCCCGAAGACAACAUCACUAUCUAAGAUUAUUACUUAACGUUAACGUUUGAUAAAAGUAAAACCAAGGGGGCAUAUUGACAUAUACCUUACGUUGUGUAUUAAAAAUUGUAAGAGACACAGAAAAAAACAUCAAACCACAAUUAAAGUCAGGAACUAAAGUUGAAAAUUACUCUGCAUAUAUUUAAAUUUUUUUAAUAGACAAUUUUGAAUAUGCGAAUGUUUUAGUAUUUAAUGAUUUAGAGAACAAUAGUCAUACAAACUGCUUUUAAAACAAUAAUAAAUAAAUAUAUUGGUUUGUGGUUUAAAUACUCUGGAAAGAAAAGUGCAGAAAGAGUGUCGUCUAGAAUUUAUUUGACAUAGAUAAUUUGUUUAAAAAAAAUAAUAAUUAUUAAUAAACAUUUAUUUUAUCUUA